rnacentral:miRNA from 1 species
UCCCUUGUAGACUAGAAAAA